UCUCCGUUGGUGAACCAGCGGAGGGAUCAUUACUGGAAUCGCAAGAUCCCACAACCCUGUGAACCUACCGAAACGUUGCCUCGGCGGGUGCCCGGCCUCUGCGCCGGGCGCUGCGCCCGCCGGCGGCCCCCUACUCUGUCUCUGCAGCGUGGCAUCUCAGAGCCCCAGAAAACAAGUCAAAACUUUCAACAACGGAUCUCUUGGCUCUA
rnacentral:misc_RNA from 1 species